GGUUGAUUAGUGUAGUUGGUUAUCACAUCGGAUUUUGAUGUAGACAAACUUCCGGAGACCCGGGUUCGAAUCCCAGAUUGACCU
rnacentral:tRNA from 1 species